UACGAAGGGGGCUAGCGUUGCUCGGAAUCACUGGGCGUAAAGGGUGCGUAGGCGGGUUUUUAAGUCAGGGGUGAAAUCCUGGAGCUCAACUCCAGAACUGCCUUUGAUACUGAAGAUCUUGAGUCCGGGAGAGGUGAGUGGAACUGCGAGUGUAGAGGUGAAAUUCGUAGAUAUUCGCAAGAACGCCAGUGGCGAAGGCGGCUCACUGGCCCGGUACUGACGCUGAGGCACGAAAGCGUGGGGAGCAAACAGG
rnacentral:rRNA from 1 species